CUCUUGCAUCGUAAGAAUCCAACUCUCAUCAUUUUGAACCUCUUCAUAAGAUUUAGGUUCUAAUUUAGAAAUAAAGGUAAAUUAACAAAAUAUCUUCUCAAUUAUCUUCUUAUUAUCAUUUUUUUAUUUAGACUAUCAAUGAUGUCCUCUUUUGAAUGGUACUUGUGAUACCUCAAAUCUUGUAGAAGAUUUUCAUGAAUUUCAUCAUUAAUUUGCAAUUCUUCCAUAUUUAGUUGUUGUUCUUUACUUAUUUAAUCUCCAUCAUUUGAAGUUUUUCCAUGAUGAUCAAUUUGAGUUU
rnacentral:lncRNA from 1 species